GAAAGCCAAUAAUAGUCUUCAGGAUGGAAAACUUGAUUAAAGUAAGGCUUAAGGCAGAUACUAUGGACCUCCUUUAAGAAUGAGAUUCUUCUAAGAGUGAACAUUGACAAAUGACUGGGUGAGUGAUAGUGAACCUUUAAGAGCUUUUUGUGAUACAGACAACGCUGUGGCCUGCAUGUCAUAGGUUCACCACCGGUGCACUAGGCUAAUACUGUAGAAGUGAUUAAGA